AUUGAACGCUGGCGGCAUGCUUUACACAUGCAAGUCGAACGGUAACAGGCCGCCAGGUGCUGACGAGUGGCGAACGGGUGAGUAAUGCAUCGGAACGUGCCCAGUCGUGGGGGAUAACUACUCGAAAGAGUAGCUAAUACCGCAUACGAUCUAUGGAUGAAAGCGGGGGACCGUAAGGCCUCGCGCGAUUGGAGCGGCCGAUGUCAGAUUAGGUAGUUGGUGGGGUAAAGGCUCACCAAGCCAACGAUCUGUAGCUGGUCUGAGAGGACGACCAGCCACGCUGGGACUGAGACACGGCCCAGACUCCUACGGGAGGCAGCAGUGGGGAAUUUUGGACAAUGGGCGCAAGCCUGAUCCAGCAAUGCCGCGUGCAGGAAGAAGGCCUUCGGGUUGUAAACUGCUUUUGUACGGAACGAAACGGCUCUGGUUAAUACCCGGGGCUAAUGACGGUACCGUAAGAAUAAGCACCGGCUAACUACGUG
rnacentral:rRNA from 1 species